AAACCGACACAGGUGGGUGAGGAGAGUAUCCUAAGGCCAGCGAGAGAACUGUUGUUAAGGAACUCGGCAAAAUGACCCCGUAACUUAGGGAUAAGGGGUGCCACCAUCAGGUGGCCGCAGAGAAUAGGCCCAAGCGACUGUUUACCAAAAACAUAGGUUUCUGCUAAGUCGCAAGACGAUGUAUAGGAGCUGACGCCUGCCCGGUGCUGGAAGGUUAAGGGGAUCUGUUAGAGCAAUCGAAGCAGUGAACUUAAGCCCCAGUAAACGGCGGCCGUAACUAUAACGGUCCUAAGGUAGCGAAAUUCCUUGUCGGGUAAGUUCCGACCCGCACGAAAGGCGUAACGAUUUGGGCACUGUCUCAACAACAGACUCGGUGAAAUUGUAAUUCCGGUGAAGAUGCCGGAUACCUGCGACAGGACGGAAAGACCCCAUGGAGCUUUACUGUAGCUUGACAUUGGGUCUUGGUACUACAUGUACAGGAUAGGUGGGAGGCUUUGAAACCAGGACGCCAGUUUUGGCGGAGCCAUCCUUGGGAUACCACCCUUGUAGUACUGGGACUCUAACCAUAGACCAUGAAUCUGGUCUUGGGACACUGUCAGGUGGGCAGUUUGACUGGGGCGGUCGCCUCCCAAAAGGUAACGGAGGCGCUCAAAGGUUCUCUCAGUACGGUCGG
rnacentral:rRNA from 1 species